rnacentral:rRNA from 1 species
CCUACGGGAAGCAGCAGUGGGGGAUAUUGCACAAUGGGGGGAACCCUGAUGCAGCGACGCCGCGUGGGUGAAGGAGGGCUUCGGCAUGUAAAGCUCUAUCGGCAGGGAAGAAGCAAGACGGUACCUGACUAAGAAGCCCCGGCUAACUACGUGCCAGCAGCCGCGGUAAUACGCAGGGGGCGAGCGUUAUCCGGAUUCACUGGGUGUAAAGGGAGCGUAGACGGCCAUUCAAGCCAGGGGUGAAAGCCCGGGGCUCAACCCCGGGACUGCCCUUGGAACUGGAUGGCUUGAGUGCUGGAGGGGCAGGCGGAAUUCCAGGUGUAGCGGUGAAAUGCGUAGAUAUCAGGAGGAACACCGGCGGCGAAGGCGGCCUGCUGGACCGCGACUGACGUUGAGGCUCGAAAGCGUGGGGAGCGAACAGGAUUAGAUACCCCAGUAGUC